rnacentral:rRNA from 1 species
GACGAACGCUGGCGGCGUGCUUAACACAUGCAAGUCGAACGGAAAGGCCUCUUUCGGGGGGUACUCGAGUGGCGAACGGGUGAGUAACACGUGGGUAACCUGCCCUUGACUUUGGGAUAACUUCAGGAAACUGGGGCUAAUACCGGAUAGGAGCUCCUGCUGCAUGGUGGGGGUUGGAAAGUUUCGGCGGUUGGGGAUGGACUCGCGGCUUAUCAGCUUGUUGGUGGGGUAGUGGCUUACCAAGGCUUUGACGGGUAGCCGGCCUGAGAGGGUGACCGGCCACAUUGGGACUGAGAUACGGCCCAGACUCCUACGGGAGGCAGCAGUGGGGAAUAUUGCACAAUGGGUGGAAGCCUGAUGCAGCAACGCCGUGUGCGGGAUGACGGCCUUCGGGUUGUAAACCGCUUUCGCUCAUGACGAAGCUUUGUGUGACGGUAGUGGGUAAAGAAGCACCGGCUAACUACGUG